ACCUACCACUUAGGGAUGUCAACGGAUCAGAUUCGGAACGAGUUUUUCAAAAUCCGAAUCCAAACCUAACUACCAAACUUGAAAUUCGAAUUUGAAUCUGAAUCUAACGAAUUUUAAUAAUACAUAUGCAAAUCCGAACCGGACCAAAAAUUUAAAAUCUGAAUCCAAAUUCGAAACCAAAAUAAUUAUAUUUUUCACCAUAUUUCAAAACAUAUUGUAUUAAACUUAAAUUUUUAAAAUACAAAUUGAAAUGUAAUAUUAAACGUUUAUAUAUAUGUUGUAUAAUUUAAAAUCAAUUCGGAUUUGGGUCAGGUUUGGGUUUGGAUCGGGUACAGAUAAAAUUCAUACCCGAUCCGAAUACAAAUCUGUCAGAUUUUUAUUUUUUAUAUCCAUAUCCGAAACUGUAUCUAUUUAGCAUCGAUAAAUUCGUUUCGAGCUCUCUAUAUAUAUAAUAUAUACACUUAAAAUCUCUACAUUUUCCAAUAUUAUUCACACACACACACUCUCUCUCUCUCUCUCUCUCUCUCUCUCUCUCUCUCUCUCUCUCUCUAUAUAUAUAUAUAUAUAUAUAUAUAUAUAUAUAUAUAUACCUUAAGGGCCUGUUUGUUUGCACAGAAGUGGGGUGGAAGUGGGAAGAGGGAAGUAAUUUUCGGUGAAAACUGACCACUUCCGUUGUUUGGUUUACCGUAAUUUUAUUACGCUCGAAAGUCUAGUUCACCCAAAUUAAUGAAAUUGACUUCCCUCUCCCAUGGAGGGAAGUCAAUUUCGGUGAGGUAAAAAGAGAUAAGAGUGGGAAUUGAUGUGUUAGGGUUACCCUCUUCUCUACCCUUUCUUUUCAUCCAAAUAUAUUCAAUUGUGGAAGUAAUUAAAUUUUUUAUUUUGAUUGUAUGUCUAAAAUUGACUUCCCCCUUUCUACUUUUCCCAAUAUCAUUCAAAUAUAGAAUUAAAAAUAUGAAUUUACACUGAUCGUCUUUAAAGCAAGUGGCAAAGGAUUUGUUGGUUGGUAUUAGAGGUCUCAAGUUCAAAUCCUAGUUGAUUCACAUAUUUAGCUAAUUUUAUUUUUAAAUAAAAUAAACGAAGCGGGUGGCGUGCUAUCUAUCUCUCAAAAAAA
rnacentral:lncRNA from 1 species